UUCUGGUCACAGAGCUGCAUGUGAUUCACAGCAGUGGAUAAGGAAGUACACAUGGGCCUGAUCUAGCUGGCAGGAGUGAAGGGUGCAUGAGAGGAAGUGACAGAGGAAGGACCAGAAGAGAUAAUCAAGAACUGGUUAGGAUGUUUUCCUAGUGGUCAUUAAGCCAUGCGGGGAGGGGUAGGAUGGAAAUGAUCUUAGGAUUUUAAGCUUACAUUUUAGGGACACAAUCAGAUGGCACUUGGGAAGACCCUCCGGCCUCAGUACCUAAGAUGACUGGAAGAGGGUGAGAUUAGACGAUCUGCAGCUAGUCUGCAGACAUGCACAGAGGACUCAGAGUGAGGAGGCUGGGCUGGAGAUGGAGGGACAGGUAGUCAGUGACACUCAUGUAGUUGGCCGCCCAGCCUGUUCUCCUUCUUCUACAAUCAGACCAUACCCACAGUGGUCAAACUGGCCCCACCUGCUGCCUCAUCACCCUUGGCCACCGUGACUAGUCCCAGGAAUGAGUAUGUGACUAAACCCAGACCAGUUAGCAGGCUUUUCUAAGACCUUUCAACCUGGAACAGAAGAAACCCCUUCACCCAGCAAGACCCAAAGCAGCUAGCAGCCAUUUCUCCCAAUGUUCAACCUCCAAAAAGGAAGAGAUAUUUCCAUUGACUGCACUGGCUGAUGAUAGAGCUGGGAUUCAGCCCUAAGUCUGUCUGACUCCAAAGGCAGUGUUAUUUUCUACUGCAAUGUGUUGCCACAAACACUCCUAAACGUGCAAACAAAAGAGAAAGUGUGGUGCAGCCACAAGACUGCAUCGCCCAGGCCUCCCGCUACCAGCGGCAUCACCAGCCCGCACCCAGCUGCUGUGCCUUGAAACCCAUCAGUGCUGGUACUCGGUCCACAUCAGCCACUCUGCGCCAAUCAGGGCUUGCUGACUCUGUGGAAGACAUUGGUGUACAUAGAUAUGAAGGCCAAACUGCAGAAAGCAGGAUAAGAAGGAAACCAACCCAAAGUGAAGUGCAUUGUCAAGAAAGGCAGAAUGAAGCUGAACCCCUUGCUAAUUCUGAAAUCUAUCCUUCCUCUGGACUUUCAGAUAUGUGAACCAAUAAAUUUACUUAAUCCAAAUUAUUUGGAUUUUGC
rnacentral:lncRNA from 12 species